UAGUCGACAUCAUAAAAGCCCCACACAAUAUCAUAGAUUCCAUUCGUUCACGAAAAUUGUCUAUGGUUCCGAACUUCGUAUGCGCAUCCGAAAAUGAAAUAGAGUAGGGUCACUAACGAAACUUCGUUUGAAUUUCGUUCGAUAUCGAAGUUUCGUUUCGUUGAAUUAGAGUAGACCCCUAGUUUUCGUUUUGUGAAUUUUGUAUGAAAAUUAUUGGCAAAGGCUACAAUAAUGCUUUAAAUCAAAGCAGCUUUACGUGAAGAUCGUGUAGACAGAAGAAGGAACCGGCAGUGCUUGCGCAAUCAAUUAAAUAUUAGCAAAAUUCCCGACGUAGUGUUUGUAGGAAAUCACACGACUCAGUCGGCAAUUUUUCGAAGAGUUGUGCCAGGAAUUCGUGCCUUUAUUAUCUCCAAACAACGCAUAUUGUAAUUGUUAGACCUUCUGGAGCAUGAGGAACAAUAUUUUAAUCGAAAAUCAUUCUCUUAACACCCAAGUUAUAUGUGACAGUGAUUGCUAUACCCAUAACAAAUGUGAAUGUGUCAUUUGGUGGAGCAACACAUGAUGCUUAUAUUCGGAGAGAGUGUGAUGUUAGAAGCCACUUGGAAGGUCUCCAGAAUUAAACAGUUUAUCUAUUAGGUGACUCUGGGUAUGCUCUAAGGGAGCAUAUGAUGACACCUAUAGAUAAAGCUCUUGAAGGCAGAUACAACUUUGCAGAGCUUUGUUAGUGCACAUUUUGAAAGGAAUAGGUAGGACAAAGUUCUACUCGAGCACAUCAUAACAUGUUCAACUAGAACUAUAUUAAUUAUCGAUUUUAAGAAUUUGACAUGAUAUUAUUACUUUUAAUAAAAGAGAGUUUAAUAAAAGAAUAAAAUAUAUGCUUAAA